AGAAGGCUAUGGACAGAACAUGGGAGAUCCUAUUGGGUCAAAUGAGGUGUCAAUCAAAAGGUCAGAGUGCAGUGGCCAUUUUGACCAGGGUAUCCAAAACAUUCUGAAGGGAGCUGAUUGAUGCAACAAUAGUUUGUGGCUGUUUAUGGAUGUAAUACAUUGUCUGGGACAAAAUACUUUACUUGGUUUGGACCUUUGGGAAUGUAACCACACAAUUUUCGUUGGGAUGUUUUGAACUGGACAACUCUGAGCCUUGCUAGAUUGACUGUGGGAGCAGCCCCACGUGUCUGUAGGUAAACAUCUUCCCUGUGUGGAGUCAGCUGUGUGUGCCCUGCAUCACCCUGCCCCUGCACAUGACACCACCUCCACAGUAUGCUGCUGAACUACUCCGCUCUAUUCCUUCAUGCCAUGCGAGCCACCUGGGCCCGGGCGGGAGGGAUGAUGUCAGAGGACCGACAGAGCAUCUGGCCUCCCAUGACAGGGGCCACGCUGUCUCCCCUCCAGCCCAGGUCUCCGCGAGGCCCCCAGGCCGAGAAGAUGACCUAGCCUGCUGCAGGUCUCAGAGCUGAGACUGCAGGGCGGUGGGGGGGGCAGGAGGGCCGAGGGCCCGGAGCCCUGGUCCUCUGGGCUUGAGCUUGUGUUCUCCGGAGCCCCGGGAUUCGAACCCCCGUCUCCUUCCAUCCCAAACCCAGCCCCCCCCUCUUCUGAACCUGAGGGAAACACGAGAAAGCAUAGGCAGCCAGACAUGGGUUUUCCCCUGUCACACACACAAGCUUGUUCAGGAGGACCUGACCCCCGGAGGACUGGGAGACAUCAGGACUGAGAGAGAUGGUCAUGUGACUUCAACGUAUCUAGCAUGGCUCGGGUGAGGAACAACGUAUUCAGAGGCAACAUAUCCACUGGUGGCUUGUUCCUCACCAGGAAGGCACCAGAGGCCGUGGGGGUUGAGGGGGGCCGUGGGCUGGCCUGGACAACAGCCACAGGUUGGUGCUCCUGGGUCAGCUGAGCCACACAGGACUCCUCCCCCUGGCCGUCAGUGUCCGUGUCUGUGGGCUCGACCGAGCCCGAGCCUUCCUUACUUCCUUGUUGAGGCGGCAAGGGUGUGAACCGCACGUGUAUCUUCUUCCUCGCACUCUUUCUGUUCUGUAACAGCUCACAGCUCAAGCAGUGCUAACGCAAUGUUGUACAAAACAUAGAGGUAAAGUGAGUGAGUUCUCACCAAAUUGUCUGAUUUAUUUGAUGGGGUGGAUGGAUGGCAAAUGAUUUCCUUCAUAGCUAAAUGAGGAGAUUUAGACCUGGGCAUAGAAAGUGAAUACAACAUGAGUUAUACCACAACAGCAUAUCAUUUUGAAUAUCCCAAGUGUCUCUUACACGGUAUACACAUCAGCCUAGACAGCAACCAGUCACCUGGUUUGGGUGAGGCUCUUUUGGGUGUGCUGUGGAGGUAUCCACAGCAUCAGAGAACGUGAUUCACUGGAGGUCAACUGGCUGAUAUUGGCUGUUCUAAGCUACAAACACACACAAAAGCUCUUGUUAGGGUAACAUGGGCAGGAUGAACUGACUUGGCAUCCACUUGCAAGUCAACGACUGAGUAAAACCAACCUUGACUUCCUUCCUUUGGUUGCUGUCAUUCAGGUUAACCGAGUUGAGAUCUGGAAAGUGUCCAUCCACCCUGCACAGGAUCUGGGACUGGCGAGACAAGAGAGGACUGGCAGGAACAUCUUCCUUGCUAUCGGCCUCAGAGACCAGCUUGACCGUAGGACGUUUUCUGCGUUCAUCCCAUUCAGAUACAUUCACCACACUUAGGGUGGGAAA